GUGUAGUUAGCAGUAGUUAGAUGGGCGGACGUAACUCCAAGGCAAAAUAAAGUUUGCAACCGGUUGCGAAUUGCAUUGGGUAUACGUCUAUUUUAACCUUUGUGGUUAAUCUGGCGAAUGGUUUGAGGGGUAGCUCACAGUUGCCAUAAUCCCUUAAACAAGACUGUUUGUAUCCUUCCCGCUGGAUGCCGCCCGUUAAUAACAUUACCCUACCGUUAAGGAAAUGUUAAACUAAAACAGACAGUCGUUCUUCAGUAUUUCACAACCUUUCUUUUACAGAUAUAUUAAAUCUACCUGCCUAACAAAUCUACAAAACCCAUCACUCGAAAAAAUGUCAUCAGUACUCUACGUCACGACCAUAUUGUCACCUGUCUACAAUCUCUGCAACUCGGUCAAGAUAUUACGACACAAGUGAUAAAGCAGUGUGCGGCGCCUAUACAAACAACCGCGGUAACUCCUCGAGCAAGAAACUGACAUCAAGAAACUAUAACUGAGCAACAAAUCCAGAAUACUACUACCUAUGGCCAACGCCGUAUGCGAGCAAGAAACUCGGAUCAUAUCAAAACCCUGAAGUGGCGCGACCUGCACCAGUUCACAGAGCGUCAAGAGAGAGAGAGAGAGAGAGAGAGAGAAGGAGGACAACGUCAACUGCCACCGCACACCACCAGACACCUCUCCGACACCACCAGCGGCAGUACUACUAACUACUAUCAACGAUGUCAACUUACACCGAAAGAUUUCAGAUAAAGCUGGACAUCAACAAAAGACUCCUCUAACAUCAUUUGUAGCCGUACGCGAGCAAGCAAUUCGGAUCUUAUCAAAACCCUGAAGUGGCGCGACCUGCACCAGUUCACAGAGCGUCAAGAGAAAGAGAAGGAGGACAACGUCAACCGCCACCACACACCACCGGACACCUCUCCGACACCACCAGCUGCAGUAUCUACCCAAACAGAACUCAAUAAUACGCAGUAUUAUUCACUGCGACCUCGAAAUCCGAUCCCGCCGCCAGCGACUAUCGGCCGAGACUAGACACCCAAUCACUACUACAAACUACUGUCAUCGAUGCCAACUUACACCGAAAGGUGAAAUAGCAUGCCAACUCCUUAGUAAGGAGUAAACAUCAACGAGCUGCUGCAGCCGACCCCAAGAAUCCACUAUCCGGACGAAACGUACAAUCGGCGCAGAACAACAUCGUCAGAAUCAAGAAUUUGCCGGGCGUUGUCACGGCAUAUUAACUGUACACUCUGCACAUCCUGUCUUUACCUCCUGCUAUAUGUCC